rnacentral:rRNA from 1 species
UACGGGGGGGGCGAGCGUUGUUCGGAAUCACUGGGCGUAAAGGGCGCGUAGGCGGCCCGCACAAGUCUGCGGUGAAAACCUCCGGCUUAACCGGGGGCCGGCCGUGGAAACUGUCGGGCUGGAGGCUGGGAGAGGGCAGCGGAAUUCCCGGUGUAGCGGUGAAAUGCGUAGAGAUCGGGAGGAACACCGGUGGCGAAGGCGGCGGCCUGGACCAGUCCUGACGCUGAGGCGCGAAAGCUAGGGGAGCAAACAGG